rnacentral:misc_RNA from 1 species
AACGCAAAUUGCGCCCUUUGGUAUUCCGAAGGGCAUGCCUGUUUGAGUGUCUUAUAAACCUCACCCUUACUGUUUGUUCAGUAAGCGGUGCUUUGGGUGCUGCCAUUGGCUCGCCUUAAAUACCUAAGUGGAAUGCGUUAUAAGUUUUCGCACCCCUCCACUCUAAUACACUUUAUACUCUGACCUCAAAUCAGGUAGGACUACCCGCUGAACUUAA